CAAAAUGAACCUCAUGUGCUGGACACUAUGUCAUUUAUGUGGAAUCUGUAGUGUUAGCUUUCUCAGAGCCCAGAGCCAGGCACCAGGUCUCACUGGGACAUAUGGCCCAAAAAAGGCUUCAUUCUGACUUAGAAUCUAGUAGGAGGUGAAGUCCCACAAAGUGACUGUCGCCUUAAACCCCUCUGGGAAGUCUGCGAUUGUUCUGGGGUUUACUGUUUGUUUCCCUAUGGGCGACAGAAUGGUGAAGACAUCCUGCCAAGAUUCCCGAGGCCUUUCAGCUCACACUCGAAUCUGGCACUGCUGUGAAGGAAUUUGCAGAUGGGAUUAAGGUGAAUAACCAGCUGAUUGUAAAAUCGGGCAUUGAUCUUGCAUCUUGUGGGUGGGCCUGGUGCAAUUCUAUGAGCCCACAUGAGUGGAGGCAGCUCUCUGGCUGGAGUUGGCGGUGGGGGGGAGAAGAGGAGGCAGAAGGGAGAUGAGGCAGAAGGGACUUCACAGAGACUGGAAGCAAGAAAAGCACUCACCUUGCCAUUAGUGGCUUUGAAGGGGGCCACAAGCCAAGGAAUGUGCAUGGCCUCCAGGAUCUGAGUGUCCCCUCACCCCACUGGUGAUUGCCAGCAAGGACACAAGAACCUCAGUCCCACAAAAAAGGACCUGCAUUCGGUCAAGAACCUGAAAGAACUUGGGCGUGGAUUCUCUCCCAGAGCCUGUAGGAAGGAAUGCAGCCUGGCUGAUGCCUUGACUUUGGCUCUGUGAAACUUGGCAGAGAGCCAGCUGAGCCGUGCUGUGCCCACACUACUGACCUACCAACUCUGUAGGAUAAAUUUAUGCUGCUUUUAAGCAGGGAAUUUUCUGGUAAUCUGUAUGACAUCAACAGAAAACGAAUACACUGCCCUUAGCAUGAAUGUAAACUGCCACAGGGAAGCUUUGCCAAGGCAUCUCCGGUGCCUGGAACAGUGUCUGGAACAGCAUAGGUGCUCAUUAAGUGCUCACUGAGUGAAUGAGUGAUGUGGCGACUAUUGGUAUGUGGCUUCUGCAAGAAGGCUGGAGAAGACACGAGGGACCACAGCAGCAAAUGGAGCCAGGACAGGUAACAUCUGACCAGACAACUGGACUGUAUCACAGCCAGGAUGCUGAUAUCGACAUGCUCCACCUACCUUACUCAUGCUUCUCGGUUUCACCUGUUCUCUCUGUGUGUGCGUUACAGAAGGGAGGUGAGGCAGAAGGGACUUCACAGAGACUGGAAGCAGAAAAGCACUCACCCUGCCAUUAGUGGCCUUGAAGGGGCCACAAGCCAAGGAAUGUGCACAGCACUGUUUUGCCACCUGGGUAGGUCUGUGUGAUCAUGACCGCUGGCUGAUGCUGAACAAGGUGCUGAGCAGGGCAGCACCCCCAGGACCCCCAGGCUGCUCCAGUGUAACCGCACCUGCUCUCCUCUUCCCACUCCCUCUCCCAACCCCUGGUGACCAACAGCCUUAAACAUUUUUAAAAUGUUUUCAUUUAUGUAAUGUGAUAUACAUGGGAUUAUACAGUAUGUAAUCCUUUGAGACUGACUUCUUUUGAUCUGCCACAUUUUUAAAAGCCCGUCUUCCCCGCUGGGACUGCAGGCUCCUUGAGGGAAGGAACUGGUUAUGGCUGAAUCCCCAGGGCCUGACAUGUAGUAGGCGCCCUAUGUUUAUUGAUUUAGCGAGAGGCAAUCCAAAUAAAAAAGCAUUUACAUGCCA